GACGAAGGAUGCAAGCGUUAUCCGGAUUCAUUGGGUUUAAAGGGAGCGUAGGUGGCCUUAUAAGUCAGUGGUGAAAUCUCGAGGCUUAACCUCGAAAUUGCCAUUGAUACUGUAGGGCUUGAGUAUAGUUGCCGUUGGCGGAAUAUGACAUGUAGUGGUGAAAUACAUAGAGAUGUCAUAGAACACCGAUUGCGAAGGCAGCUAACGAAACUAUAACUGACACUGAGGCUCGAAAGUGCGGGGAUCAAACAGA
rnacentral:rRNA from 1 species